GGUUCGGUGGCGAAAUGGUAUCGCGCCAGAUUUCGGCCACGAAAUCGAAACUCCCAGUCCUUGUGCUGGUUGUUACUCUCUGGAGAUUGCGGGUUCGAAUCCCGUCCGAAUCG